rnacentral:rRNA from 1 species
AGCGAACGCUGGCGGCAGGCCUAACACAUGCAAGUCGAGCGCCCCGCAAGGGGAGCGGCAGACGGGAGAGUAACACGUGGGAACGUACCCUUCAGUUCGGAACAACCAAGGGAAACUUUGGCUAAUACCGAAUACGUCCGUAAGGAGAAAGAUUUAUCGCUGAAGGAUCGGCCCGCUUCUGAUUAGCUAGUUGGUGGGGUAGUGGCCCACCAAGGCGACGAUCAGUAGCUGGUCUGAGAGGAUGAUCAGCAUCACUGGGACUGGGACCCGGCCCAGACUCCGCCGGGAGGCAGCAGUGGGGAAUAUUGGACAAUGGGCGCAAGCCUGAUCCAGCCAUGCCGCGUGGAUGAUGAAGGCCCUAGGGUUGUAAAGUCCUUUCGGCGGGGAAGAUAAUGACGGUACCCGCAGAAGAAGCCCCGGCUAACUUCGUGCCAGCCGCCGCAGUAAGAC